GGAGGAUUACUCAAGAGGCUGAAGAGGACGGUUUGCUAAAUCGUUAGGGCGGGUUACCGUCGCUAGGGUUCGAAUCCCUAAUCCUCCG
rfam:Veillonella parvula DSM 2008, complete genome.